AACUGUGCAUGUACGAUGUGGUAUUCAGCUCGUAACCACAAAAGCAAGUAAUCAUUUCCUGUUACUGUGGUGAUAGGCGCUUGAAUCAUACUGUUAUGGAAACCACCUCUGCACUCCUGUGUGCCGUGACUCGAGUGCUGGCGUCUCUUCUUGUCCCCGGAGACAGACUCCAGGAUGUCCUCUCUUCUCCCCUACCUGUCACAGGCAUUCUUGUCCAUCUUAUCUCCCCUGCCCUGUCUUCUGUCCACCUUUGUUUGUUCGCCUGACAUCGAGUGUCCUUUUCCUGAUCGAGGACGGCAGCGGAUUGACUCAACAAAACAUCCCCACAAUGAGAUGGAAAAUUUGGGUUUUGUCCCUCACAGUGUCGUUGUCAUUAUUAACGCACAAAUGCGACAUGCAAAUAUAUUUAACAAUGACUGACACAUUUGCUGGUCUGUUUUGAUGGAAAAAUCAAUAUUAGAUGUCAUAUUAGGAAAUCAUUAUACGAAAAUGUCAGCCGUUGUGUGAAAUAGUAUCUUUAGCAGUGCUAGCAUUCAGCCCAUUUUUUAGUCCAGUGCAGUGAUGGCGUCGUCUCCGUUUCUUGGCACCGCAGAUAGAAUUCUCCCUUUUGUUUUUGUCAGGGCCCAGACAUAUCUCAUCUCGGUGGCCGCGAGAGCGGUUAGAAUGUCGAGUGACAAAUGAACUCAGGAGAGUUCCUCCACAAGCCUCCCCAGCGAUGUCUGGACAUGAUGUCAGACGGCUACCAGAUUUUCAGACCGGAGGAGUCAAUAGCCUGGUCAAUACCGAUAGUGACAAGUCUUCCAGUCUAGACCACUCAAGAUCUCCUUCUCCCUGCUUCCAAAGGCUUGGACCAUUAGCCUAGAUGAAUUGGACAAAAACAAAUCAAUAGGAGAUUAGAGAUCGUGAUCAUUUGCUUUGUUUCCAGUGCUUGUCGCAGUUUGAAAAAGGUUAGCUCCAUGGUUGCCCUCUUGUUCCUAAAAGAGCUCUGGUUGAAGAUUCUUGAAAGCCACUUCUCUGUUGUGUAGAGUGCAGGAAGUGUCACCAGCGACGAGGACCGGGGCAGCCCCGCCGGGAACACGCCACCACUGCCGGUGGAAAAUCACAGGAGUUUCCAGUGCUGUUAUUCGUGAAUGUUGCAUCAUAUGUUAGGAGGUGAGGAAAAGGGCCUUGGAGAGACACGUGUGUAUUGUGUGGAAAAGGACAGAGGAGAGGUUUGUGAUACGCCAUGACAGAUUGUUCACUUUGUACUUAUUCAGUAGUCAUGUGUUGCACACGGUCAGCUGGAAAUGCAGCGGGUGAGAAAUAGCAGCGGUCUGUUUAGUGCCCUACCCCAGAGAGUUCAAUCAAGCAUUUUGAUCCUCAGAAUUGCUUUAAAAUGUAACGAUAUUUUGCAGUUAAACACUCUUUUGUGCGUUUAUAGUAACAAUUGCAAAGUGAUUUGUUUUAUGUUCUGUCACACGUAGCCUGUUUUUCGAUCCCACUCCAUCCAAACUCAAACACAAAUCAACUGUUGUUGUCACGAAAACACGUUUAGCGCCACGAAAUGGUCUAUUAGGAGUUCUUAGCGUUGCUGUGUUACAUAUUUAAUGGCCAUCAAAAUCAAUGUACUUGCCAGGCAGCGACUGAGUGCAGCGCAGACCCAGCGCUGCUGAUCUGGUCCGGCCGUACUACACUGUCUGCCGCAAACUGGGUUACCCUUAACAAGACAAAAGACUCUGCUGGUAAAUGCAUUAAGAUUCUAGCCUCCAAUGCAAUACAUCAGGCCAUUAUCUCCCAUGCCUGGUACAGAAUGCAUUAUCAAAGAAGUGAGGAAAUGAAUACUCUAGUUAAUAAGAUAUAGCUUCUUGGGAUGUUUUCACAUGCUGUUGGUCUUAUUUAUCUUGCUUUAAUACAGAAUCGUUUCACUAUGUGACCUAAUUCAACAUCACCGCUACUGAUAUGGCCCCCAGCGUGAAGGAUGACAAUUAGGGGGUAAAUCAUCAAAUAGGUUGAAUGAACAGGACCGAGAGGAGGACAGUCGAGGCACGGUGUUCCCCUGGAUUGAUGGGGUUCAUAAACAGUAAUCAAGUCAGCAAGUGUUUGUCUUGUGUCCCCACAUUUCAUUUCUUUCCUCAGCCAUGCUGUUCUCAGAGUGCAGUGUGAAGCGUAACACUGUUAUGUAUCUUCGGAGAGUAAUAAGGCUGAGCUGAAUGGCCAGGAAUGAAUUAUUCCCUUCCAACGGCUCCGAAAGGCUGUCCAGAGAGAUACUUCUGUCGAGUUCUUCACAGCUAUUGGCUUUCCACCUCAAGGAGCACAAAGACAAUAAUAUUUCUUUGUUUGAUCCCUCAUAAUACCUUGGAAUCACAUAAAUGUUAGAAUUUGAGGCAUGAGGCAAUUAGGCCUUCAAUGUGAAUAUAACCCAUAUUAUCUGUCUCUGUUAGUAAUAUGCAUCUCAUCUUGAGGACUACCUUUGAAGUACACCCCAUAAUGUCCUUGACAUGAGCAUAAAUCUGCCUUAUUGUGCUCUGACUGAUCGACUCACAGUGGGACUCCAUGUACUGAAGCAUGACUGACAUUUGAUCCCUCUGUGACUGAAUAAAUUACAGUAAUACGC